rnacentral:rRNA from 1 species
UACGUAGGUGGCAAGCGUUGUCCGGAAUUAUUGGACGUAAAGCGCGCGCAGGCGGUCUUUUAAGUCUGAUGUGAAAGCCCCCGGCUCAACCGGGGAGGGUCAUUGGAAACUGGGAGACUUGAGUGCAGAAGAGAAGAGCGGAAUUCCACGUGUAGCGGUGAAAUGCGUAGAGAUGUGGAGGAACACCAGUGGCGAAGGCGGCUCUUUGGUCUGUAACUGACGCUGAGGCGCGAAAGCGUGGGGAGCAAACAGG